UGCUAAUGGGCGAUUUUCUGUCCGGUGAGCGGUGACUUCUUUUUACUUUUACAGAACUGGUUGCCUCCUGGGUAUAAAUAUCACUUCUGCACCUAUCGUUUGUGCACUACACAAGGUGAUUCACACCUGGACCACACAAGUUUUGAGGCAUCACUAAGAAUUGCGUUGACAGAGAUUUGUGAAGUAAAAGAAUGGGUGAAAAAGCUUAGUGAAUCAUCAGGAGUGAGUUGGAGAGUGGCAGUGACAAAACCAAAUAAGGGACAACGUGUGCUUUAUAAGGCUCAUUAUAGGUGCCAGCACAAUGUUUAUGUCCGAUCAGACACGGCUAAUCAAAGACGGCUGUCAAAAAAUACAUGCUGUGAGGCAAAACUGAUUUGCACUCUGGUGAAGACUACAGACAAAAGGGGAGGAACUAGUAGAUACAGGAAGUUCCUGACCUAUCUACAGAGUCUUUACAGUCGACGUGAGAGUUGGGCUCUCAGCUAUAGGAGGGACUUGCCAACACGUGGCAACCAAACAAAUAACUAUGUGGAGGCUGCAAUGCGUGUCUUGAAAGACAAAAUACUUCAAAGGACAAAAGCAUUCAACCUGCCUCAAUUAUUCAACCUUUUCAUCACCCGACUAGAGAUGUACUAUAAAGCACGUGUGACAGACGUUGCACUUGGCCAUUGGGAGGCAUUCCACCGGUCAAGAUUACUUGCUACACAAAGUAAUAUAAAAGCAUCUGAUAUUUCUCAGGUUGGAGAAAAGACAUUUCAGGUGAGAUCGUCCACAUCAGGGCACACCUAUACAGUGGACAUGGAGUUGGAGCUCUGCACUUGUCCAGUUGGCCAUAGUGGGGCACCAUGCAAACACCAGGCAGCAGUAGUGCAAAAUUACAACAUCACCUCCAUCAACUUUCUCCCCACAACAGCUGAAAUGAGGGCUAAGCUGCUGAAAAUAACAAAAGCCUCAGUUUCUCUUGACUUUCUAAACCCUUUACGGCAAAAUAUGCCAACGCCAAGCACAUUAGCUCCAGGUAAGAAAGUUCAAGUGGGACAUAGAAACGUCAUCAUACAUGCUUAA
rnacentral:lncRNA from 1 species